CCUCCUUUCUUCCUCCUUUCUUCCUCUUUUUCCCUUUCCUGCCUUCUUAACCAGCCAUGCCGCGUGCAGGAAGACGGCUCUAUGAGUUGUAAACUGCUUUUGUACAAGGGUAAACCUGAAUACGUGUAUUCAGCUGAAAGUACUGUACGAAUAAGGAUCGGCUAACUCCGUGCCAGCAGCCGCGGUAAUACGGAGGAUCCAAGCGUUAUCCGGAUUUAUUGGGUUUAAAGGGUGCGUAGGCGGAUUGAUAAGUUAGAGGUGAAAUGUCCGAGCUUAACUCGGGAACUGCCUCUAAUACUGUUGAUCUAGAGAGUAGAUGCGGUAGGCGGGAUGUAUGGUGUAGCGGUGAAAUGCUUAGAGAUCAUACAGAACACCGAUUGCGAAGGCAGCUUACCAAUCUAUAUCUGACGUUGAGGCACGAAAGCGUGGGGAGCAAACAGGAUUAGAUACCCGUGUAGUC
rnacentral:rRNA from 1 species